rnacentral:rRNA from 1 species
AGUGAACGCUGGCGGUAGGCCUAACACAUGCAAGUCGAACGGCAGCACAGAGGAGCUUGCUCCUUGGGUGGCGAGUGGCGGACGGGUGAGGAAUACAUCGGAAUCUACUCUGUCGUGGGGGAUAACGUAGGGAAACUUACGCUAAUACCGCAUACGACCUACGGGUGAAAGCAGGGGAUCUUCGGACCUUGCGCGAUUGAAUGAGCCGAUGUCGGAUUAGCUAGUUGGCGGGGUAAAGGCCCACCAAGGCGACGAUCCGUAGCUGGUCUGGGAGGAUAAUCAGCCACACUGGAACUGAGACACGGUCCAGACUCCUACGGGAGGCAGCAGUGGGGAAUAUUGGACAAUGGGCGCAAGCCUGAUCCAGCCAUACCGCGUGGGUGAAGAAGGCCUUCGGGUUGUAAAGCCCUUUUGUUGGGAAAGAAAUCCAUCUGGUUAAUACCCGGGUGGGAUGACGGUACCCAAAGAAUAAGCACCGGCUAACUUCGUGCCAGCCGCCGCAGUAA